rnacentral:rRNA from 1 species
CUUCAUGAAUUUUGACUAUGGCUCAGAUUGAACGCUGGCGGCAGGCCUAACACAUUCAGGUGUUAAACUAGCCUCAGGAUGAACGCUGGCGGCGUGCUUAACACAUGCAAGUUGAACGGAGUACUUUCGGGUACUUAGUGGCGGACGGGUGAGUAACGCGUGAGGAUCUGGCCUUAGGAGGGGAACAACAGUUGGAAAGGACUGCUAAUGCCCCAUAUGCCGAGAGGUGAAAAGUUAUAUCGCCUGAGGAUGAACUGGCGUCUGAUUAGCUAGUUGGUGGGGUAAGGGCCCAUCAAGGAGGCGAUCAGUACACGGUGUAAGAGGAUGAUCAUCCACACUGGGACUGAGACCCGCCCCAGAGUCUUACGGGAGGCAGCAGUGGGGAAUUUUCCGCAAUGGGGGAAAGCCUGACGGAGCAACGCCGCGUGAGGGAGGAAGGCCUUAGGGUUGUAAACCUCUUUUUUAUGGGAAGAAGAACUGACGGUACCAGAGGAAUAAGCCUCGGCUAACUCCGUGCCAGCAGCCGCGGUAAGACGGAGGAGGCAAGCGUUAUUCGGAAUUAUUGGGCGUAAAGCGUCCGCAGGCGGCUUUUUAAGUCAGUUGUCAAAGGUCACAGCUCAACUGUGGAUCGGCAAUGGAAACUGGGGAGCUUGAGUGUGGUAGGGGUAGAGGGAAUUCCCGGUGUAGCGGUGAAAUGCGUAGAUAUCGGGAAGAACACCAGUGGCGAAGGCGCUCUCCUGGGCCACAACUGACGCUGAGACGUAUGCUGGAAUAG